rnacentral:rRNA from 1 species
GACGAACGCUGGCGGCGUGCUUAACACAUGCAAGUCGAGCGGUAAGGCCCCUUCGGGGGUACACGAGCGGCGAACGGGUGAGUAACACGUGAGCAAUCUGCCCAUCACAUCGGGAUAACUCCGGGAAACCGAAGCUAAUACCGAAUACGACCACCUCCGGCAUCGGAUGGUGGUGGAAAGUUCCGGCGGUGAUGGAUGAGCUCGCGGCCUAUCAGCUUGUUGGUGGGGUAACGGCCCACCAAGGCUUCGACGGGUAGCCGGCCUGAGAGGGUGACCGGCCACAUUGGGACUGAGACACGGCCCAGACUCCUACGGGAGGCAGCAGUGGGGAAUAUUGGACAAUGGGCGAAAGCCUGAUCCAGCAACGCCGCGUGAGGGAUGACGGCCUUCGGGUUGUAAACCUCUUUCAGCAGGGACGAAGCGCAAGUGACGGUACCUGCAGAAGAAGCACCGGCCAACUACGUG